rnacentral:rRNA from 1 species
UACGUAGGUGGCAAGCGUUGUCCGGAUUUACUGGGCGUAAAGAGCGCGCAGGCGGUCGUUCAAGUCGCGUGUGAAAGCCCCCGGCUCAACUGGGGAGGGUCACGCGAUACUGAUCGACUCGAAGGCAGGAGAGGGAAGUGGAACUGCGAGUGUAGAGGUGAAAUUCGUAGAUAUUCGCAAGAACACCAGUGGCGAAGGCGGCUUACUGGUCCGGAACUGACGCUGAGGUGCGAAAGCGUGGGGAGCAAACAGG